CUUGGUGAUUCUCGCGACGAGGGUCCACCUGGUCUCAUCCCGAACCCAGUAGUUAAGCUCGUCAGCGCCGAUGGUACUUGGGGGGCGACCCCCUGGGAGAGUAGGUCAUCGCCAAGA
rnacentral:rRNA from 1 species